rnacentral:rRNA from 1 species
AACGAACGCUGGUGGCAGGCUUAACACAUGCAAGUCGAGCGCCCCGCAAGGGGAGCGGCAGACGGGUGAGUAACGCGUGGGAAUCUACCCAUCUCUACGGAAUAACGCAUGGAAACGUGUGCUAAUACCGUAUACGUCCUUCGGGAGAAAGAUUUAUCGGAGAUGGAUGAGCCCGCGUUGGAUUAGCUAGUUGGUGGGGUAAAGGCCUACCAAGGCGACGAUCCAUAGCUGGUCUGAGAGGAUGAUCAGCCAUACUGGGACUGAGACACGGCCCAGACUCCUACUGGAGGCAGCAGUGGGGAAUAUUGGACAAUGGGCGCAAGCCUGAUCCAGCCAUGCCGCGUGAGUGAUGAAGGCCCUAGGGUUGUAAAGCUCUUUCACCGGUGAAGAUAAUGACGGUAACCGGAGAAGAAGCCCCGGCUAACUUCGUGCCAGCCGCCGCCGUAAGAC